rnacentral:rRNA from 1 species
CACGUAGGGCGCAAGCGUUGUCCGGAAUUAUUGGGCGUAAAGAGCUCGUAGGCGGCUUGUCACGUCGGAUGUGAAAGCCCGGGGCUUAACCCCGGGUCUGCAUUCGAUACGGGCAGGCUAGAGUGUGGUAGGGGAGAUCGGAAUUCCUGGUGUAGCGGUGAAAUGCGCAGAUAUCAGGAGGAACACCGGUGGCGAAGGCGGAUCUCUGGGCCAUUACUGACGCUGAGGAGCGAAAGCGUGGGGAGCGAACAAG